UACGUAGGGAGCAAGCGUUGUCCGGAAUCAUUGGGCGUAAAGCGCGCGUAGGUGGCCAUUUAAGUCCGCUGUGAAAGUCAAAGGCUCAACCUUUGAAAGCCGGUGGAUACUGGAUGGCUAGAGUACGGAAGAGGCGAGUGGAAUUCCUGGUGUAGCGGUGGAAUGCGCAGAUAUCAGGAGGAACACCGGUGGCGAAGGCGGGUCUCUGGGCAGUAACUGACGCUGAGGAGCGAAAGCGUGGGGAGCAAACAGG
rnacentral:rRNA from 1 species